rnacentral:rRNA from 1 species
UACGGGGGGGGGCAAGCGUUGUUCGGAAUUACUGGGCGUAAAGGGCUCGUAGGCGGCCAACUAAGUCAAACGUGAAAUCCCUCGGCUUAACCGGGGAACUGCGUCUGAUACUGGAUGGCUUGAGUUUGGGAGAGGGAUGCGGAAUUCCAGGUGUAGCGGUGAAAUGCGUAGAUAUCAAGUGGAACACCAGUGGCGAAGGCGAGUCCCUGGACACUUCCUGACACUGAGGCACGAAAGCUAGGGGAGCAAACAGG